rnacentral:rRNA from 1 species
UUUACGACGGCCAUGAUUCGAGCAGGCACUCGCGGUGCAUCUAGAUUAGCUAGUAACACGUGGAUAAUCUGCCCUAUGGUGGAGGAUAACCCCGGGAAACUGGGGAUAAUACUCCAUAAGUCAGGAGUACUGGAAUGUCUCCUAACUGAAAGUUGCGGCGCCAUAGGAUGAAUCUGCGGCCGAUUAGGUAGUUGUUGGGGUAACGGCCCAACAAGCCCGUAAUCGGUACGGGUUGUGGGAGCAAGAGCCCGGAGAUGGAAUCUGAGACACGAUUCCAGGCCCUACGGGGCGCACCCCGCGCGAAAACUUUACAAUGCAGGAAAUUUUGAUAAGGGAACCCCGAGUGCCCGUAAACGCGGGCUGUCCCGGUGUUUAAAACACAUCGGAAGAAAGGGCCGGGCAAGACCGGUGCCAGCCGCCGCGGUAAUACCGGCGGCUCGAGUGGUGACCACUUUUAUUGGGCUUAAAGCGUUCGUAGCUUGAUUUUUAAGUCUCUUGGGAAAUCUCACGGCUUAACUGUGAGGCGUCUAGAGAUACUGGGAAUCUAGGGACCGGGGAGAGGUAGAGGUACUUCAGGGGUAGAAGUGAAAUUCUGUAUCCUUGAGGACCACCGAUGGCGAAGGCAUCUUACCUGAACGGCUUCCACAGUGAGGGAACGAAAACCCGGGGGGGAGCGAACGGAUUAAUAUACCGGGUAUGUCCCCGCCGUUACACUAUUCGUUAUGUUCCGUUUCAUACAAUUACUCAGGGGGUGCGCAGAGAAACAGUGAAAAUGACUCG